rnacentral:tRNA from 1 species
GCCUGGGUGGCUCAGUUGGUUGAGCAUCUGACUUUGAUUCAGGUCAUGAUCUCAUGGUUCGGGAGUUCGAGCCCCGCAUUGGGCC